rnacentral:rRNA from 1 species
ACUGUGUGAAGAAGGCCUUCGGGUUGUAAAGCACUUUCAGUAGGGAGGAAGGUAGUGUAGUUAACACCUGCAUUAUUUGACGUUACCUACAGAAGAAGCACCGGCUAACUCCGUGCCAGCAGCCGCGGUAAUACGGAGGGUGCGAGCGUUAAUCGGAAUUACUGGGCGUAAAGCGCAUGCAGGCGGCCUGUUAAGUCAGAUGUGAAAGCCCGGGGCUUAACCUCGGAAUUGCAUUUGAAACUGGCAGGCUAGAGUCUUGUAGAGGGGGGUAGGAAUUUCAGGUGUAGCGGUGAAAUAGCGUAGAGAUCUGAAGGAAUACCAGUGGCGAAGGCGGCCCCCUGGACAAAGACUGACGCUCAGAUGCGAAAGCGUGGGGAGCAAACAGGAUUAGAUACCCUGGUAG